rnacentral:misc_RNA from 1 species
GAUGAAGAACGCAGCGAAAUGCGAUAAGUAAUGUGAAUUGCAGAAUUCAGUGAAUCAUCGAAUCUUUGAACGCACAUUGCGCCCGCUAGUAUUCUGGCGGGCAUGCCUGUCCGAGCGUCAUUUCAACCCUCAAGCCCCCGGGCUUGGUGUUGGGGAUCGGCGAGCCUCCGCGCCCGCCGUCCCCUAAAUCUAGUGGCGGUCUCGCUGUAGCUUCCUCUGCGUAGUAGCACACCUCGCACUGGGAAACAGCGCGGCCACGCCGUUAAACCCCCAACUUCUGAACGUUUGACCUCGGAUCAGGUAGGAAUACCAGCUGAACUUAAGCAUAUCAAUAAGCGGAGGA